rnacentral:SRP_RNA from 1 species
UGUGCUAGUCGGGGAGGUAGCGGUGCCCUGUAGUCUGCAAUCCGCUUUAGCAGAGAUUAUGUUCAGUCUGAGGCUUUAGUUUGUGAAGUCAGCCUGUCAAUUUCUGAUGUUGACGAUUGAGUCUUGCACAAUGGGAACCUGUGAACCGUGUCAGAUCCGGAAGGAAGCAGCACUAAGCGGUACUUCUCAUGUGUUGUGAGGUUGCUUGAUUUGAGUCAGAGUUGUCAGUA